GUGGGGAAUAUUGGACAAUGGGCGGAAGCCUGAUCCAGCCAUGCCGCGUGUGUGAAGAAGGCCUUUUGGUUGUAAAGCACUUUAAGUGGGGAGGAGGCUCUCUUGGUUAAUACCUAAGAAGAGUGGACGUUACCCACAGAAUAAGCACCGGCUAACUCUGUGCCAGCAGCCGCGGUAAUACAGAGGGUGCGAGCGUUAAUCGGAUUUACUGGGCGUAAAGCGUGCGUAGGCGGCUGAUUAAGUCGGAUGUGAAAUCCCUGAGCUUAACUUAGGAAUUGCAUUCGAUACUGGUCAGCUAGAGUAUGGGAGAGGAUGGUAGAAUUCCAGGUGUAGCGGUGAAAUGCGUAGAGAUCUGGAGGAAUACCGAUGGCGAAGGCAGCCAUCUGGCCUAAUACUGACGCUGAGGUACGAAAGCAUGGGGAGCAAACAGGAUUAGAAACCCUAGUAGUCC
rnacentral:rRNA from 1 species